AUAAGUGGCUCUUGUAUCGAUUAGAUACGAACAGCUAAAUAUUGAUUUAAUCUUAAGCAAUAACCACCGUAUAAAAAAGAGUCGCGUGAAAAAAAACUCAACAAACGAAGGCAAUAAAUCUUUGAGCAUUAAAUUAUCUUGGCAGUCUUUAAGGGUUUAAGCAAGAUGAAUUUCGCUAAGAUAUUUUACUUCUUCUUCACGGUUGUCAUGGCCAUAUGCUGUGUUUCAGCGGCUCCCAGGUGGAAAGGAUUUAAGAAAAUUGAGAAGCUAGGACAACACAUCCGGGAUGGAGUCAUCAAAGCGGGCCCCGCGGUUGGUGUUGUCGGACAAGCAUCCAGCAUAUUGGGAUAAACAAUAAUACCAAUAUACUAUACAAACAAUAAAAAUAACAAUAAUACAAUAAAUACCAAUAAAGGUAAGCGUACACCUUCCGGCAUCGUACGCAACGGGCGCAACGCAUUCAGUAUUAGGGUCAAUUUAUACUAGUACAGAGUCGAAGCGCAUCGAAGCGUCUAUUCAAUACUGAACAUUACAAAUACAACAUUAACUCCACAGCAUAACGUACACAUUGCUACUGAGAUUUUAAAAAGUCGCGCACAUUCUUCGCGAUUCGCGCGUCUACGCGUGACCAACGCAACCAACCAUUCGUGCGGCUUUGCUUUAGUUGUGAAGAAUUUGACGCUUCGCUGCGCUUCGACUCUGCCCCAGUAUAAAUUGACCCUUAUUUGUAGAUUUAAAUUCACACAAGUGCGUCCACUUCAUCGACAUUGCCGACGCCGUUCCUCCAUACAUUUAUGACAAUCCGUUUUGUGUGAUACGUACGAAACCGAUAAGUGGACGCUUACCUUUAGGCCAAGCUAAGACAGACCGGCUCGGAGAACAGAACAGAAUUUUACAGCGAUGAUGGUAAUAGAACCUUGGCCGCCUGCAAUAUUGAAGUAAGUACAGUUAAUGACGCAUGGUCGGCAACCAAAAACGUAAAAAUUGUGUUAAAAUUGUUUAUGUAUGUUAUUGUAUUAAAAAAAUUAAGCCUAUUAUAAUUUUUGAAAUGGAACUUUUUCAUUCAUGGCGAGUGUAGUGCAUUGUGCAUGAAACAACAUUUGUUUGUGGUUUUAAUGUAUUAUAAUCAGAUAUUAAAAAUAUACCUAGUUUAGGUAUAUGUUUAUUGUCACAGUCAGCACAUAAUUAUGUAUAUUAUGUAAAUACCUACUUGUAUCAUCGCCAGCAUCGUAUCUUCAGGCUCAAUUGGUUAUUCCCAAUAACUUAAGUAGAAAUUUGGCAAAAAUAUGAAUAAGUAAAUAUAUUAAUAAAAUGUACAAAUCUGA